rnacentral:rRNA from 1 species
AUUGAACGCUGGCGGCAGGCCUAACACAUGCAAGUCGAACGAGUGGCGGACGGGUGAGUAAUGUCUGGGAAACUGCCCGAUGGAGGGGGAUAACUACUGGAAACGGUAGCUAAUACCGCAUACCAUCGGAUGUGCCCAGAUGGGAUUAGCUUGUAGGUGAGGUAACGGCUCACCUAGGCGACGAUCCCUAGCUGGUCUGAGAGGAUGACCAGCCAAACUGGAACUGAGACACGGUCAAGACGCCUACGGGAGGCAGCAGGGGGGAAUAUGGGACAAUGGGAGCAAGCUUGAUGCAGCCAUGCAGCGUGUAUGAAGAAGGCCUUCGGGUUGUAAAGUACUUUCAGCGGGGAGGCGUUACCCGCAGAAGAAGCACCGGCUAACUCCGUGCCAGCAGCCGCGGUAAUAC